UUCCACAUAUUUCUGCAAAUUCCCAAGCCUAAAGCUCACUGACUCACUCCCACAACCAUUUGAACUCGCCCUACCUGACUCACCCAACUCGCUACCUCCACUCAGUCCUGAGUCAGCCCUCUUCUUCACCUUCUUCAAAUCAAAAUCCAGUCCAAAAGCACCGCUCCCGACCCGGUCACGACCCGAACCGACAUCUUCACUGUCUCUGAGAACCCCUGAAUGAUCAAAUGCAGGUGUUACCGACACUGUUUGCUUGGACGCCACACAACCCAUGGUGGACACGUGUCAGUUGCACAGCAACACCAUGAGAGCAGCUUUCACUGCAAACCAAGACCAACCCAGAUGAAAUUAUGCUAAAUCUUGACGGGGGUCAAGUUUAGUUCUGAGGUGAACAAGAGGGGAAAAUGAGGUUUUUAAUGGGGUUAGCAGUCACAGCAGCAAGCAGCAACGGAAUGAAGCGUAAUCAACGGGGAGAAAAGGAAAUUGGUGGCCUUUUACACUGACGUCCUGCUGCGUUAAGUUGUUUUUAUUUCCCUUUUUAAUGGGAAAAGAAUUGAUGACAAAAAAAUUAAAAAAAGAAUGGGCAGUCUUUGAGAGCAACAAGUCUUUAUUGACUUUUAUGAGAAAUUUAAAAUUCUCUAGUCUUGUUUGUUCUUGUAUUAGGAUAUUUCUUUAAAAUAGUUUAAUUGAUGUUUUCCUAGCGAAAAGUUUGAAUCCCAUAUGAAGUGUUUUUAUUUUUGGAUAUACUAUAUGGUAUAGUAUGUGGUA